rnacentral:rRNA from 1 species
UGGACAAUGGCGCAAGCCUGAUCCAGCCAUGCCGCGUGUGUGAUGAAGGCCUUAGGGUCGUAAAGCACUUUCGCCAGAGAUGAUAAUGACAGUAUCUGGUAAAGAAACCCCGGCUAACUCCGUGCCAGCAGCCGCGGUAAUACGGAGGGGGUUAGCGUUGUUCGGAAUUACUGGGCGUAAAGCGCACGUAGGCGGAUUAGUCAGUCAGAGGUGAAAUCCCAGGGCUCAACCCUGGAACUGCCUUUGAUACUGCUAGUCUUGAGUUCGAGAGAGGUGAGUGGAAUUCCGAGUGUAGAGGUGAAAUUCGUAGAUAUUCGGAGGAACACCAGUGGCGAAGGCGGCUCACUGGCUCGAUACUGACGCUGAGGUGCGAAAGUGUGGGGAGCAAACAGGAUUAGAUACCCUGGUAGUCCACACCGUAAACGAUGAAUGCCA